rnacentral:rRNA from 1 species
AUGGCUCAGGAUGAACGCUGGCGGCGUGCCUAAUACAUGCAAGUCGAACGAGGGAAGGCAAGCUUGCUUGCCGGAACGAGUGGCGAACGGGUGAGUAAUACAUAAGCAACCUGCCUGUAAGGACCGGGAUAAUGCCUGGAAACGGGUACUAAAACCGGAUAGGCAUAGAUGGGGCAUCCCAUUUAUGUUAAAGGUGAGAGACACAAACAGAUGGGCUUAUGGCGCAUUAGCCAGUUGGUGAGGUAACGGCCCACCAAAGCGAUGAUGCGUAGCCGGCCUGAGAGGGUGAACGGCCACAUUGGGACUGAGACACGGCCCAGACUCCUACGGGAGGCAGCAGUGGGGAAUA